GGAAGCAAGGAGACGGAGAGAGACCGAAGGUCUAGUGGCGACGACAGAACCGCCACAUACGGCGGCGGAGGUGGUUGUUUGAUUCGGAUUCGAUGUGGUUUCGGGAGACACGGUUCAGCUUCGUACAAAUUAACUCGAGUUCAGCUCAGGUUUCGGGUACACAUCGAUCGUUCGAAUCGGGUCUCACGGCAUGAGUUAGUCGGCCCAGGUCAGUCGCAAGCUACGGUUGUUUCGGAGCCUUGGCUCGGCUUAGUUCUGGCGCGGUUUAGUUUUGGCUCCGUUCAGCUUCGGUUCGAGAUGUUGUUAAAGGCAGUCGACUCGUCAUUUUGUUCGGUUGAUGAGGAUGAUGCUAAGAAAAGAAGUAGCGUUGAUGCCUAGAUACACAUAUAGACGUUAGGUUUAAAUGUUGUAUCAAUUUUGAUUAUGAUGUUAUGUAUUUCUUUUGAACUUGUUGUUAUUUGAAUUUCCUUGUAUUGUUGACAAUUUAGUUUAU
rnacentral:lncRNA from 1 species